rnacentral:rRNA from 1 species
AUUGAACGCUGGCGGCAUGCCUUACACAUGCAAGUCGAACGGUAACAGGUCUUCGGAUGCUGACGAGUGGCGAACGGGGGAGUAAUACAUCGGAACGUGCCCGAUCGUGGGGGAUGACGACGCGAAAGCUUUGAUAAUACCGCAUACGAUCCACGGAUGAAAGCAGGGGACCGCAAGGCCUUGCUGCAACGGGGCGGCCGAUGGGAGUUUAGGAAAUUGGUGGGAUAAAAGCGUACCAAGCCGACGAUCUGUAGGUGGUCUGAGAGGACGACCAGCCACACUGGGACUGAGACACGGCCCAGACUCAUACGGGAGGCAGCAGUGGGGAAUUUUGGACAAUGGGCGAAAGCCUGAUCCAGCUAUGCCGCGUGCAGGAUGAAGGCCUUCGGGUUGUAAACUGCUUUUGUACGGAACGAAAAGACUCUGGUUAAUACCUGGGGUCCAUGACGGUACCGUAAGAAUAAGCACCGGCUAACUACGUGCCAGCCGCCGCGGUAACAC